rnacentral:rRNA from 1 species
CAGCCGCCGCGGUAAUACGAAGGGGGCUAGCGUUGUUCGGAUUUACUGGGCGUAAAGCGCACGUAGGCGGAUUCUUAAGUCAGAGGUGAAAUCCCAAGGCUCAACCCCGGAACUGCCUUUGAUACUGGGUAUCUCGAGUCCGGAAGAGGUGAGUGGAAUUCCGAGUGUAGAGGUGAAAUUCGUAGAUAUUCGGAGGAACACCAGUGGCGAAGGCGGCUCACUGGUCCGGUACUGACGCUGAGGUGCGAAAGCGUGGGGAGCAAACAGGAUUAGAUACCCCUGUAGUCCCUGUCUCUUAUAC